CAGUCGCCACGGUAAUACGUAGGUCCCGAGCGUUGUCCGGAUUUAUUGGGCGUAAAGCGAGCGCAGGCGGUUAGAUAAGUCUGAAGUUAAAGGCUGUGGCUUAACCAUAGUACGCUUUGGAAACUGUUUAACUUGAGUGCAGAAGGGGAGAGUGGAAUUCCAUGUGUAGCGGUGAAAUGCGUAGAUAUGUGGAGGAACACCGGUGGCGAAAGCGGCUCUCUGGCCUGUAACUGACGCUGAGGCUCGAAAGCGUGGGGAGCAAACAGGAUUAGAUACCCCGGUAGUCCCUGUCUCUUAUACA
rnacentral:rRNA from 1 species